rnacentral:rRNA from 1 species
UUAGGAAUUUUGCGCAAUGGGCGAAAGCCUGACGCAGCAACGCCGCGUGAGGGAGGAAGGCCUUCGGGUUGUAAACCUCUUUCGGUUGGAAAGAAAAAAAUGACGGUACCAACAGAAGAAGCACCGGCUAACUACGUGCCAGCAGCCGCGGUAAUACGUAGGGUGCAAGCGUUAUUCGGAUUCACUGGGCGUAAAGCGCAUGUAGGCGGUUUGCCAAGUCUGAUGUGAAAUCCCUGGACUCAAUUCAGGAACUGCAUCGGAUACUGGUUUACUCGAGUAUAGGAGGGGAGAGCGGAAUUUCUGGUGUAGAGGUGAAAUUCGUAGAUAUCAGAAGGAACAACGGUGGCGAAAGCGGCUCUCUGGACUAUAACUGACGCUGAGAUGCGAAAGCGUGGGGAGCAAACAGG